AUAGGACCGUGUGUCUCAGAUGAAGUGAGGCGGGACAGACUUCCAAUGUAAUCGCCCAGCUUCUUGAUGGUUUCGUGGCUGUCGCUGAGGAAAUGCUGCUCGAGGAAGUCGCACAGCUACAACAGAGGCAAAACGGGACAAACUCAACAACGGCCUCAGGACAAACAGCAGUGUUAUCUAACAGUGCCAGACGUACGUGGGGGUCGGUGUUGAUGCCAGCCCUGCGGUGCACAUCAAGGAUACAAGUGUUCAGGGACUUCUGGUAGUCGAGGGAAAAUGACAUAGCAUCCAGACCACCUCUCCAAUCCUCUCUACUUGGUUUCUGGAACACAAAGUUGAUAUUUAGUUGAAUAAACAAAUUAUGAAGUCAAUGAUGAAAAAUUGCCACCUGCAAAUUGGACAAUUUUGGACUUACGGCAACAGUCUGAAGCAAAAUUCGGCCUCCUCUCAUGUUUUGAUAUUCCAGCAGUUUCUCCGCUUGUUCCCUCUCCUUCACGGAGCGCUCCAGGAAAAAACUGGAGAAUUUCGGCAGGGCCACAUCAUCCCUGUCAAAAAACAUCCCCUAUAAGGAGGAUGUACACACACGUAGACAAAUAUUUAGGGGUGACAGAAUUCGAGCAAUAUCUAUCAAUAUGCGUUGCACACAACUAACACUGUUUGACAUACGGCGACUGGAAAUCGUACCAGAGAAAGGAAGGUGUAGGACGCGGUGAGCUUCAGGUUGACGAGCUUGUUGAUGUCUCCUUCGCUCUCCGCAUGGAAGUUAUGUUUAACCACAGACUGCAUUUCUAAACAAAAACACACAAAACAAAACAGAAAAAUACUGAAAUCAACGAGACACAAUGGGUUAAAUCACUGCUGACGAAGAAGACGACACUAUGUGAUCUUUACAUCAGACAUGAACAGAGCAGAAUAAAAGGACAAUCUUUCAUACUU